rnacentral:rRNA from 1 species
CAGAGACCUCAAGCGUUAUCCGGAAUCAUUGGGCGUAAAGCGUACCGAUAGGUGGUUUGAUAAGUCUUGGGUGAAAUCCCGAAGCUCAACUUCGGAUUUGCUUAGGAUACUGUCAGACUAGAGGGGCAAAGAGGAGAUUGGAACAAACGGUGUAGUAGUGAAAUGCGUUGAUAUCGUUUGGAACACCGAAAGCGAAGGCAGAUCUCUGGGUGCCACCUGACACUGCUAGGACGAAAGCGUGGGGAGCGAAUGGGAUUAGAUACCCCAGUAGUCCACGCUGUAAACGAUGAAUACUAGGCAUGCGCGAGUAUCGACCCUCGUGCGAGCCGCAGCUAACGCGUUAAGUAUUCCGCCUGGGGAGUACGGCCGCAAGGCUA